rnacentral:rRNA from 1 species
GCCAGCAACCAUAUCACCCUGCAACUCACAACUGGCAACCUACUGAAGCUUUGCAGGUGUGAGCCUGGUCAGUACCUGGAUGGGAGACCUCCUGGGAAAAACUAAGGCUGCUGCUGGAA